rnacentral:rRNA from 1 species
UGCUCUUGACAUACUUGGAAUCUCCUGAUAACAGGAGAGUGCCUUCGGGAACCAAGAUAU